rnacentral:rRNA from 1 species
GACGUAGGGCGCGAGCGUUGUCCGGAUUUAUUGGGCGUAAAGAGCUCGUAGGUGGUUUGUCGCGUUGUCCGUGAAAACUCACAACUCAAUUGUGGGCGUGCGGGCGAUACGGGCAGACUGGAGUACUGCAGGGGGAGACUGGAAUUCCUGGUGUAGCGGUGGAAUGCGCAGAUAUCAGGAGGAACACCGGUGGCGAAGGCGGGUCUCUGGGCAGUAACUGACGCUGAGGAGCGAAAGCGUGGGGAGCGAACGGAUUAGAUACCC